GUAAUAUCAAUGAAAGAGGAAGUACUUUUUUUAUUUACGUUAGAGAAGGUGAGCCGUGGCUGAAAGCAACCUAUGAAAAAAGGAAAGACACUCUGGAGAUGAAUGUUUAAAAGGCAUUCCGUAGCGAGCGUUAAUCGUGUGAGAUAAAAUAGUUUAAUGACUAUUUUAAAAAUAGGUGGUACCGCGUGUGUAUAUCAUUCGUCCUUGUU
rnacentral:ncRNA from 1 species